rnacentral:lncRNA from 10 species
CUUAGCUCCACGCGUCAUGUCUCCCAAUUCCUCUGAUUUUAGCCUCAGCUGAUGGACAGUGCCACACAAGUUCUGAUUGACAGUUACUCACCUCAAGCAUACUCCAUACAUCUUUCUGCCAAGAACAUUCUGCAACAUUAUGAAGUCCAUGUGCCCUAUAUGCAAGUAAAGCCAGAAGUCCUGGAGUAAUACCUCCAGUAGCAGCCCCUAUUGGGAAACAGAAGCCAAAACUGAAGCUCAGAAAUGCUGUGCUUAUCAUUCAUGUUGUUCACCAAAGAGUUGUUUUAUGCGGACUUACGUCUUCAUCGUCUCCUUCACUGAGGCAAUCCGGAAUUACUUUUUAGUGGAAAC